GUACACUCCUACGGGAGGCAGCAGUGGGGAAUAUUGGACAAUGGGCGCAAGCCUGAUCCAGCCAUGCCGCGUGAGUGAUGAAGGCCCUAGGGUUGUAAAGCUCUUUCACCGGUGAAGAUAAUGACGGUAACCGGAGAAGAAGCCCCGGCUAACUUCGUGCCAGCAGCCGCGGUAAUACGAAGGGGGCUAGCGUUGUUCGGAUUUACUGGGCGUAAAGCGCACGUAGGCGGACUAUUAAGUCAGGGGUGAAAUCCCGGGGCUCAACCCCGGAACUGCCUUUGAUACUGGUAGUCUUGAGUUCGAGAGAGGUGAGUGGAAUUCCGAGUGUAGAGGUGAAAUUCGUAGAUAUUCGGAGGAACACCAGUGGCGAAGGCGGCUCACUGGCUCGAUACUGACGCUGAGGUGCGAAAGCGUGGGGAGCAAACAGGAUUAGAAACCCGUGUAGUCCCAUGA
rnacentral:rRNA from 1 species